AGAUUUCUUCGGGGCAGGGUGUAAUUCCCGACCGACGGUAACAACAAGGCGUUUAAGUUGAAGUCCGUGACCCGCGUAAUGCGGUUGACCCAGUGCAAGUCUGGGACCGACAGUUAAAGUCUGGAUGGGAGAAGAAAAGA
rnacentral:ncRNA from 1 species